GUGGAUUAGGUACCCUGGUAGUCCACGCUGUAAACGAUGACGACUAGGUGUGGGGGGGUUCAGUCCCUUCCGUGCCGCAGCUAACGCAUUAAGUCGUCCGCCUGGGGAGUACGGCCGCAAGGUUGAAACUCAAAGGAAUUGACGGGGGCCCGCACAAGCGGUGGAGCAUGUGGGUCAAUUCGAUGCAGAGCGAAGAACCUUACCUGGGCUUGACAUGUAGGAAGUAGGAACCGGAAACGGGGACGACCUGUUAAGUCAGGAGCCUACACAGGUGGUGCACGGCCGUCGUCAGCU
rnacentral:rRNA from 1 species